rnacentral:rRNA from 1 species
GAUGAACGCUGGCGGCGUGCCUAAUACAUGCAAGUCGAGCGAACAGAUAAGGAGCUUGCUCCUUUGACGUUAGCGGCGGACGGGUGAGUAACACGUGGAUAACCUACCUAUAAGACUGGGAUAACUUCGGGAAACCGGAGCUAAUACCGGAUAACAUAUUGAACCGCAUGGUUCAAUAGUGAAAGGCGGCUUUGCUGUCACUUAUAGAUGGAUCCGCGCCGUAUUAGCUAGUUGGUAAGGUAACGGCUUACCAAGGCAACGAUACGUAGCCGACCUGAGAGGGUGAUCGGCCACACUGGAACUGAGACACGGUCCAGACUCCUACGGGAGGCAGCAGUAGGGAAUCUUCCGCAAAGGGCGAAAGCCUGACGGAGCAACGCCGCGUGAGUGAUGAAGGUCUUCGGAUCGUAAAACUCUGCUAUCAGGGAAGAACAAAUGUGUAAGUAACUGUGCACAUCUUGACGGUACCUGAUCAGAAAGCCACGGCUAACUACGUG